UAUAAUACACCAUCCAUCCUGUUCUAUAAUACACCAUCCAUCCUGUUCUAUAAUACACCAUCCAUCCUGUUAUAUAACCCAACCCAUAAUACACCAUCCAUCCUGUUCUAUAAUACACCAUCCAUCCUGUUCUAUAAUACACCAUCCAUCCUGUUCUAUAAUACACCAUCCAUCCUGUUAUAUAACCCAAUCCAUAUCAUGAGGUUCUCAGCCGUCUGUUAAGUGCUGUUGUCUCAAGGUGCUUUCUGUUUUCAUUCAGAACCAGAGGCUUCAACGGCAGCAGAAGAAACUCCCAAGAAGAAGAAAAAGAAGUCUAAGAAAGCCGAGGAGGACGUAGAAAGGAAGAGGAAGAGGAGGCGACCGUCUCUCCCACAGAGGAAUCGUCAAAGAAGAAGAAGAAGAAGAAAAAGGUCAAGGAGGAAGAGGGAGAUUAAUCUGGUUGGGGAGAAACUGUAUUAUAUUAGAACUUUUAGUUGUGGUUGUAUCUACCAGGGCCAGACUGACUGGUGUAUCAGCCUGACCGUUUAAAGACUAGAGAACUGGAGACGGAGGUUAUUUCAGACCAGCAGCUGAUCUGUUAUGAGACUUGAUAUAAAUCCUCCUGUGGAUUUGAGUUUAAGAUGAACCUUUAGUUUACUGUAACCUCUUAUUAUUACUAAUCAACUAAAGACCCAAUAGACUGUCUACAAUAUCAAUGUCCAUGUUAAAACACUUCCUUCCUCCACUGGUUUAACGAUGUGCCUUUUUUAAAAGAUGGGUUUUUCUGCUGUCUUUGUCCAUAAGUGAUUAAAUCCAUUUUCUCAGUCA